AAGAAUGUGGCCCCAGGAUAUGUCUUUGGGUAUAUCAAGCCCCAGUUCCAUCAUCCAGUAUGUUCUUUGUGCACCAUCUACCUUGGAGUCACCAGCAGCUGCUUGGGUGAUUUACUGUUCACAGGCCAUCACUCCAGGCUGUGUUCUUUGUGCCACUCUCCAGAUCUGUUUUAUUGCCUAGCCUGAUCUGCCCAGUCUUCCUUGCCAACUAAGGAAGCUGGUUCCAUGGAGGAAGCACCCUUGUGGAGUCACCUCUAUCCAACUAACCCUUCUGGCUUUUUCACCCCUGCCUCUGACCGAGUUGUCCCUGAGGAAUGAAGUCUUUCAGUUGUUCCAGGAGCACUGAGGUUUCUUCGUCCAGAUCAGGCUUUGGCCUCUCUCAUUUUUUGUCUUCCUCUUUCUGGAGCAUAAGAGUACUUCAAUAGCAGCAUUCCAGACACAAGAAAUCCUGGGACAUGUAAUUUUCCAGGACUCUUAAAGCUGUGUUUUCCUGGAUUCUUGUUCCGAGAAUGUCACUUUUAAAUAUCCGGCCUGAAGGAAGGAGCAGGAGGAGAAAAUCCCUUGGGAAUGUGAUUUUCACUGUAUCAGAAUGCUUCCAGAGCACAUGGAGCACUUUGAAAGCAAGAAUACCAACACUUCAGAAGUGCAGAGACUAGCAUGGGGCCUGAAGAACAGUGAAAGCAACAAUGUGAUGUCCUGAACCCAUGUUCAGGAGAGACAAAUUAUUUCUACCAAGAGAAUAAUUCAGCAGAAUAUGUCUGCAGACUGAAACAGACUGCUUGUGAAUGAUGUAGCCCUCAACUAAUUGUGUAAGAUAACAUCUUAAUGAUG